rnacentral:rRNA from 1 species
AUUGAACGCUGGCAGAAUGCUUUACACAUGCAAGUCGAACGGCAGCACGGACUUCGGUCUGGUGGCGAGUGGCGAACGGGUGAGUAAUGUAUCGGAACGUGCCCAGUCGUGGGGGAUAACGUAGUGAAAAUUACGCUAAUACCGCAUACGAUCUCUGGAUGAAAGCGGGGGAUCGCAAGACCUCGCGCGAUUGGAGCGGACGAUAUCAGAUUAGGUAGUUGGUGGGGUAAAGGCCCACCAGGCCAACGAUCUGUAGCUGGUCUGAGAGGACGACCAGCCACACUGGAACUGAGACACGGUCCAGACUCCUACGGGAGGCAGCAGUGGGGAAUUUUGGACAAUGGGCGAAAGCCUGAUCCAGCCAUUCCGCGUGCAGGAUGAAGGCCCUCGGGUUGUAAACUGCUUUUGUACAGAACGAAAAGGUUUCUACUAAUACUAGGAGCUCAUGACGGUACUGUAAGAAUAAGCACCGGCUAACUACGUGCCAGCCGCUGCCGUAA